rnacentral:rRNA from 1 species
AUGGCUCCCUUCCGGCACAACUCGCUGUCGACAACCUCCUUUGACAGCUCGCCUUUGAGGCCCACCAGACUCACACGACGACGCUGGCCGUCCACAGCCACCACCACAGGCCGUUCACAGCCACCACUCAUGGCCGUUCACAAAAAACACCCCAAAGUGCAUACCAUACAUGAGGACAAGGGUGAGGAGCCAGGAGGAGGCAGCAGGAAAGAGCUAAGCGAUCUUCAGUUCACGUUUGCUACGAUUUUCAGUCCAGCCGGCUUACUAUUUCAUCACCAGGGAAAAGAUAACAAAAAGGGACGCGGCGAUUCGGUGCUCAGGCUCAUCUUCACCUGA